AGGGGGCGCGAGGGAGUGCGGGCGUCCUGGGGUGGAAGCGGGCCUCUGAGGGCUAAAGGAGGCCUCGGGCACCGGGAGAUUCAGGAGCGGAUGGUGCCUUAACCGCGUCUCCUCCAGCACGCUCACUGUGCCUUUCCGGUCGCCCCUGGAGGCAGAGAUGGCCCUCAGGUCCCUGGCCUCACAUGCCCAACGCCACCGAGGGGUGGUUCAGAAGGAGCUUACAGUGAACGGCAGCACCCUGGCAGUGAGAUGGACUGCUGAAGACCCCGUCUUCUUCCGAGUUUCGAUCAACUCCUUCCUCGACCAGCUUUCCCUGGUGAUCCGAAACAUUCGGGGCUUUGGGUCCCCUCCUCCGGGAAGCCUAGGCCAAGGAAGGGGAGCUGAGGCCUAGUCUUGUGCCCCUUACUAGGCAAGGCACAGGGAGUCGGUACUUGGAGUUGAUGGCCACUUUGUUAUCAGGGUUUAAUUUUUUGCCCGUAGGGGCCCUUGGUCCACUUGGUUUCUUUCCCUGUUGCUAGAGGAACGGGCGCUUGAAGUGUUUGUUACUGCAGAAAAUAAAACUGAGCUACCAUU